GACGAACGCUGGCGGCGUGCUUAACACAUGCAAGUCGAACGGAAAGGCCCUGCUUUUGUGGGGUGCUCGAGUGGCGAACGGGUGAGUAACACGUGAGUAACCUGCCCUUGACUUUGGGAUAACUUCAGGAAACUGGGGCUAAUACCGGAUAGGAGCUCCUGCUGCAUGGUGGGGGUUGGAAAGUUUCGGCGGUUGGGGAUGGACUCGCGGCUUAUCAGCUUGUUGGUGAGGUAGUGGCUUACCAAGGCUUUGACGGGUAGCCGGCCUGAGAGGGUGACCGGCCACAUUGCGCCUGAGAUACGGCCCAGACUCCUACGGGAGGCAGCAGUGGGGAAUAUUGCACAACGGGCGGAAGCCUGAUGCAGCAACGCCGCGUGCGGGAUGACGGCCUUCGGGUUGUAAACCGCUUUCGCCUGUGACGAAGCGUGAGUGACGGUAAUGGGUAAAGAAGCACCGGCUAACUACGUG
rnacentral:rRNA from 1 species